rnacentral:lncRNA from 1 species
UUUAGUCUUACAGACACUUCGAAUCAACUCCAGCACCACCAUCUGAAGCGAUUCAUUCCAGUCUGAAACCUUGUCAACAUUGCUCAGAAGAUAAUUCACAGCUCGUUCUUCAGCACAGGUAAAGAGCAUUAGAAAUGCAUUUCUCUUGGCAGACGGAUCUUGUUCUGUUGACAGAGCUUUCUCGAUCAUUUCAGGUGCAUCAACGAAGAGUUGGUCGCCAUUUGGAAGCUUAUAUAUCGACAUGAUGGCCAGAAUUGCAAUCCUACGAACAAACGGGUGGCGGUGCUCCAGAUUUUGCAACACUGAUGGAGUCAAAGGCUCAACAAUUUCAGUCUCCUUCAACCGGCAAAGAAACCUCAGUGUCACUCCACGAAUGUACUCAUUCGGAUGCUGCAGAUUAUUACGAAGAUUCUGGCAUAUCAAAAUCAUUUCAGGUAGGACCUUCCCCCUAGAAUCCGUCUUUUCAAUCAGCUCCAGGUACAGCAGCAGAAGCUUUUGGAUUGUGUGGUCCUCAGAAGGCAGCACGUAUCUUAUAAUAGUUAUGAAAAGCUGCGGGAUGGUUUCUCCAUUCAGCAGAAGCAUAACCGCCUUCUUCAUGGCAUCAACUUUCGCUUCCACAUCAUUUCCUUCGAGAGCUUCUUUAAUCUCUUUGGCAACUGCUGGAGUCCCUUUGUCAUAGUAUACAAGCAAUGUACUAGAUUUUUCCAUCUUUUUCACUUCUGCAACAAAAAGCGAAAGAGAAACCAAAAUGAAGAAAACUUGUGAGCUCGAACGAAAGGAAAUCCAUGAAAGUGAAUGGAGUGAACACCAGGAACGCAAAACAAGAUUUUUCACAUCCUUAAAAUUAAUAAAAGACAUAAUGCUGUACAGAUCACAUAGUAACAAUCAUGAUAAGCAAAAUGUAAACAUUUCUUGCGGUUUCAAGUUUGAGUUUACAGAGCAGAAGAACCUUAUUCGUCUCCUCAUUACUCCUCAAGUAAAUUUUAUACAAGAAGUUUAAUAGAAUCCACAUCACUAUUCAGCAAUAAUAUACCCCACUCUACUUGGCAUCUCCGUAUUUCAAAAUUCAAUUAAAAAAAAAGAAACUAGCAAGGAUCAACAUCUCUGUUCUCCAAUCCGUGAAUUAUGAGCAAACAUCACAAUUACACGAGAAAAAUCGAAAGAUGCAAAACAAAGACAAAAUGUAAAUCCUCAGAUCCAUCAAUAAACAUCACUUUACCAGCUACGAUCAAAACAUUAUGAUCAAUCAUUUUUUAAACCGAUAACAAAGCUUCGGAUCAACUAAAAUCAAAAAACAAAAUGCCAUCUCUCUACGCUUUAACUCCCCAGAUUUAGAAAGCAGCAAUCGAGUCUAGUCUCACUCAGCUGCAUAGACAUGAAAAUCGGGUAUCUAACGGACUCGGAUCGAGAUCAAACAAAGGACGCCCAAGCAAUGUCGAUUUACACAAAAGAAAAGGUAAAACGAGGAUCGAUCUCUACAAAAUCUGGAUCAUGUAUCGAAAGUUUGGCAGAGAGACAAACCUCAAAGGUACGAGAGAUCCAGAGAGAGGAGGUGAUCGACGGAGGUACAAAGCUCGAGAGAUUUCGGAUCUCGAAUACUCGCAACACUGAGAUAAAUGUAUUUUUAUUGGUGAGAUACGUCUUAUCUGACUCAUCGAAACGAAGAACGGAAAGAGCGAGUCAACCUCAAGGGCCCAUUAAUGAAAAGCCCACUCCAACAGAAGUUAUACAAUUUUAGUGUCCCGAAGUUUGUAAUCUGUGUUUUUAAAACCGGACCGGACCGGGUUUAACUGCAAACCGGACACAGAUCCAGAUUGGGUUAAUGCUUAAACCCAAUUAAAAUUAACCCAAUAACCGUCGAUGCAAUGAACGGACCAAAUCUUGGUUAGUAUAUAAUCAAACAUUUGUUAAUAAAACAAUUUAUUUUUCUUCGUAAAAUUAGGAUCUGUGAAAAGAUUAAUAAAGUAUACUCGUCUCGUUUUUUUUUCAUUUAACAUCACUGUAACUCACAAGACUAACAAACAUAAUUAUUCAUGUCAAAAUAUUGUUUGUGUUUAUUUCUUACUUUGUUUAGAAUUUUUUCAUGAUCAAUUGUGUUGAAGAUUUUAAUAAUUAAAAUAUUUAGAUUUGUAAAAUUUAUAUAAUUUACGAAAGAACAAAGCAUUGAACUUAUUUUUACUCAUCAUUCGAGGAACAAAUUUAAACUUAGCUUGAUUUACACUUUACAUAAUCAGCUUCAAGAUAUAUUUUUUUAACUAACUUUUUAAAAGGAUGAUGAUGAUUUAGAAGUGCUAAAGAUACAAAGAAAACUAUAUGAGCUAUUAAAUUAAUUUAUUAGUUUUCUUAUAUUUUUAGUUUGUUAUAUUUUAAGUUUUUAUAAAGAUUAUGGUUAAUGAAAUAUUUCAUUUAUAUGAUUUAAGAAUAUGCGUACUAUUUGCAAAAUAUAAUUAAAUUCAGUUUAAUCCAAUCAAAACCGAUCAAGCCCAGUCGAACCACGAUGACCCAUAAUCCAAAAUAUUUUCGGUUCGUUAGCCGGUCCGGUUUUAAAAACAUUGUUUCUAAUUGUUUUCAAAAUAAACCCAAACUUUAUAAAGUGAUCGUAAUUGUGAUAAAUAUCCUACCGGAUUUGACUGAAUCCGGUUUACUAAAAUCGUUACUUAAACCAGGUUAUACCGAGCAUACAGAGAGUGCUCUGAGAACAUCUAUUAUCAACUCAACCAUGAUAUCUCUGUGCAAUGACUUAAGCUCACUCAACCGAUCGAGUAAAAUAAGCUUCACAUUGUUGUCACUCUGAGAAAGAAGAAGUAGACAGUAGGUGUUGGCAGCAGCUCUAAUAGCAGUAGGGGGCAGACGAGAGAGAAACAAGAGUCCCAGCACAUUCAUAGAUAACUGCAGAAGAAGUGGCGCUUAACAGAGAAAUAAUAAUCUUAAUAUAUUUCCCCUUCUCUGUUGGUUUAGUCUUACAGACACUUCGAAUCAACUCCAGCACCACCAUCUGAAGCGAUUCAUUCCAGUCUGAAACCUUGUCAACAUUGCUCAGAAGAUAAUUCACAGCUCGUUCUUCAGCACAGGUAAAGAGCAUUAGAAAUGCAUUUCUCUUGGCAGACGGAUCUUGUUCUGUUGACAGAGCUUUCUCGAUCAUUUCAGGUGCAUCAACGAAGAGUUGGUCGCCAUUUGGAAGCUUAUAUAUCGACAUGAUGGCCAGAAUUGCAAUCCUACGAACAAACGGGUGGCGGUGCUCCAGAUUUUGCAACACUGAUGGAGUCAAAGGCUUAACAAUUUCAGUCUCCUUCAACCGGCAAAGAAACCUCAGUGUCACUCCACGAAUGUACUCAUUCGGAUGCUGCAGAUUAUUACGAAGAAUCUGGCAUAUCAAAAUCAUUUCAGGCAGGACCUUCCCCCUAGAAUCCGUCUUUUCAAUCAGCUCCAG